rnacentral:ncRNA from 1 species
AUAAAGUUUUAUUUUGGCUUAAAUUUUUAUUUUUAGUUUAUUUUAUAUGUAAAUUUUUGUGAGAACUAAAUAUUUUUAGUUAAUUAAAUUUUUGAAAAAUAUAUUUAUUUUAUUUUAAUUGCAGUAAUUUGUAUUAUUUUUUAAAGAAAUUUAGAAAUAGUAAUAUUAAUAAAAUAUUGAUAAAUUUUGUGCCAGCAAUCGCGGUUAUACAAAAAAUAUGAAUAAAAAUUAUUUAUAUAAGUUAAAUUAAAAUUAAAUUAAAAUUAAAAAUAUUUUUUUAAGUAAAAUUUUAAAAUAUUAUUAUUUUAAUUAUUUAUUAUUGAAACUUGAAAAUUUUAUAAUAAAACUAGGAUUAGAUACCCUAUUAUUAAAAGUAUACCUAAAUUUAUAAGAGUAGUAAUAGGUAUAAUCUUCAAACUUAAAAAAUUUGGCGGUAUUUUAGUCUAUUCAGAGGAACUUGUUUUUUAAUCGAUAAUCCACGAUGGACCUUACUUAAUUUUGUUGAUCAAUUUGUAUAUCGCCGUUAUUGAAUAUUUUAUAAGAAUAAUAAUUUUCAAUUUUUUAAAUAAAAUUAUAUAUCAGGUCAAGGUGCAGUUUAUGAUUAAGUUUCAAAUGAGUUACAAUAAAUAUAUUUAUGUGAAUUAAAAUUUUAAAUUAUUUUAUGAAAAUGGAUUUGAUAGUAAACUAUAAUAGAUUAUAUAUUUGAUUUUAGCUCUAACAUAUGUACACAUCGCCCGUCGCUCUUAUUAUUUAAGAUAAGAUAAGUCGUAACAUAGUAGGUGUACUGGAAAGUGUCUCUAGAAUAUC